rnacentral:rRNA from 1 species
AAUAGAUACCCCGGUAGUCCACGCCGUAAACGAUGAGUGCUAGGUGUUGGGGACUCCAAUCCUCAGUGCCGCAGCUAACGCAUUAAGCACUCCGCCUGGGGAGUACGGCCGCAAGGCUGAAACUCAAAGGAAUUGACGGGGACCCGCACAAGCGGUGGAGCAUGUAGUUUAAUUCGAAGCAACGCGAAGAACCUUACCAGGGCUUGACAUCCCGCUGUCCCUCCUAGAGAUAGGAGCUCUCUUCGGAGCAGCGGUGACAGGUGGUGCAUGGUUGUCGUCAGCUCGUGUCGUGAGAUGUUGGGUUAAGUCCCGCAACGAGCGCAACCCUUGUCCGUAGUUGCCAGCAUUCAGUUGGGCACUCUACGGAGACUGCCGUCGACAAGACGGAGGAAGGUGGGGAUGACGUCAAAUCAUCAUGCCCCUUAUGUCCUGGGCUACACACGUGCUACAAUGGAUGGAACAACGGGCAGCCAACUCGCGAGAGUGCGCCAAAUCCCUUAAAAACCAUUCUCAGUUCGG